AUCACCGGGAACCUUGUUAAAAUGCAGACUCUGCUUCAGAGGAGGGGCCUGAAAUUCUGCAUUUCUAACAAGCUCACAGGUGAUAAGGA
rfam:Ailuropoda melanoleuca scaffold232_55, whole genome shotgun sequence.